CAAGAAUCGAUCAGUGCCUUAUUAUACGCCGGAGGUGGGGGAAGGGGAAACCAGAUGACAGGCGCCGCCGGCGUAGCCUCCCGCCGAUGGGCCGGACGGCGGCGAAGUUUUUGGAUGGAAUAAGCCUCAAACAAGGACGGGAGCCGCCUGCAUUCUGCUCUACUGAGUCGAGACUCGAGAGAUGGUAGAGGAGGAGGAAUCUUAACUCGGAAGCCGUCUGGAGAAAUGGGAAGGCGGAGCGCAAGCAAGAUCGUCGAUCUGCCCGCCUCCAAGAGGAGAUCUGUGGAACAUAAAACCUGCCGUUGGUUUCAAGAAAUAACAUGGAACCAUGCUUGCCAAAUUUUGCCAAGUAAGUUCGCCAGCAGAUGCUUGUUGUCAGCUAGAAGGUUGGCCGUUGGAGGUCACACUGGAUGACUAAUUUCUGGUAUUCUCCAAGAGCCCAUAUAGGAAAUAUGUUGCGAUAAGCCAUGUAGCAUAAGGGGCCAUUUUUCAAGAAACUUCCAAUCAUUUCCUGCAUCACAAAAAACCAAAUUGUUACAUGGAUACUAGAAGUGGGGCAAUCCUAGAACAGAGAAAAGGGAAAAUAAAGGAACUGCAUUGCAAAUAGCCAAAUAUCAUACUGAAAGUUCCAAGUUUAUGUUAUGAAUUCUAUCACUUGUGAACUGUGAGUAAAUAACAUGGAAAUUCAAGACUUAAAGGUAGUUGUAAUAACUCAUAAUGCAAGUAUAGUACCUCCUGUGGAAAGUCACCAUUGCCCAGCUGCAUGCUCAUGAUAAGUCUUGCUGCUUUGUGCAGUGGAGCAGGAUCUCUUUCCACCUUAACUCAGAAGAAACGUUGAAACACUUUCAAAUAAUGAACUAGAUCUGAACGUUUAAAUUAAUACUACAUAUUGUUUGAAUUAUUUUGGAUCAAAUAUGUGCUUUCCUGGUUGUCCAUUAAAUCGAGCGUACUUUUAAAUAAGUCAUCACCUGUCCAGCUUUCAUGAGUGCCAACAUUGCCCAUGCAGUGUUCACUAUAUGUGACUUCUCCCCAUCCAGAUUCGUGUAUGCCUGUUUGUAUUUUUAAUAUGCACUCAGUCUCUUGAAUUGAGUUGCAGCAAUGCAAGACAAUGUCAAAGAAAAUAAAUCUUCACCGUAAAUAUCAGUCACAGUAAUCUCUCUGAAAGCAAAUGAUGCAUAACGGCUUCACUCUCUUUUUUGGGUGAGGAAAAGAUCUAUACUGCCUCUAAUCAGCAAAACUUCAGUGUUUUUUUUUUUCAUUUUCAAUUAUCAAAGGUACACAUGAAAUUAAUGGAAAGAUGUAUUACAAAUCAUGGUCCUGUUGCCAUGCAAUUGCAUGCAUAUUUUCUAGCCUUUUGCAUCGGUUGUUUCAGUUUCUCCAAAUAAGCCUGAUAGCUACGUCUGAUAUUGGUAAUUGAUGUUCCUAAUGAAGUUACAAUCUGGUAAAAGAUAACAGAAAAAACAGUUCUUCUUUUUAACAUUUUUGAAGUAAAAUUGUAACAGGAACAAAGCAUGUUUUCAUUGUCAGGAUGUAUUGCUCACUCAAAAUGUGGAAAGUUACAGUCCAUAUACAUAACAAAGCAUUCCACAAAUGAUUACCUUGGUUCUGGACGAAAGAUGACUCUCACCCCAUCCACCAUUGCAUAGCUGCUUUGACAACAGGAACUUACAGGUCUUCCUAAUGCAGGUGCUGUUACCAUAAUUCUGUCCAAUAGCCGAUAGACCCUCUAUAGCAAACCAUGUACCAUAUGUGAAACAAAUACCCCAAGAUCCAAACCUGUAAAGCAGGUCAAUGAUUAUCUGUUUCUCAAUUUUGUAUUGUUUUUAGCAAUGUUUUAAAGCACAACAUGACAUUGUUUUAUUUUAUCAUCAACAUCUUAUUUGAUUUUCUAUAUUAAACAUUGCGACUUUUUAUAAUUUGGUUAGCAACCAAUUCUUGAGAAUUUGUAUUUAUGCAGUAAUACAGUAGUAAAACCUUGCUAUUUUCUCAUCUGCGUAAGUGUAUUUAUUGAAGUCUGCGACUUAUGGAAAGUUUGUGGCUGAAUUGUCAUCUCGCUGAAUACCAGGCUAUUGUGGGACUAGGUACUUUAGUUGCUGGGGCUGUCCUGGGGAUACUGUUUCGUAGAUCUAGGUUUUACAGUCUCAGAACUGCAAAGUAAUGUGUAAAAUUUAAACCUUUAUCCUUUGAUUCUUAGUUCUUACUGCUCCGUAGCUCUUUAAAAUUGAUAUUAAUUAAGAACUCCUAUUUUUUCUGGUCAUGUUUUUAGGGGUACUGACCAUGAGCCAUCAUCAUGCUGUAACUUCUCAAUGAAUUCUGUAGCUCUCCUAAUACAUUGAUCAAUUUCAUCUUUCCGAUGCCCAGGGCACUUCUCAUGAAAUAGUACGAGCGCUUGGAUGACUGAUGAGGUACACUCGACGUACCUGCAUUUUGGAAUGCAUGGAAUUUCAGUCAUUGGAGAGUUACAGAUAAGAAAGGUUGUAGAUUCUUACUGAUGCUCCACCAUGAUGUCUGCGUAUAUUUCUGUCAUGUUGAAAAUCUGCCAUGAAAUAGAUCCAAAUCCUCAUUAUUCAAUGCUCAAAAUGUGUACGAGUAUUAUUUAGGCUCUGCAAUACUAGACUCCUUAAGAAAACUAUUUUUUUUUGUGCACACGAGAUGCCAGGUAAAUUGCCUUAAAAAUUAUGUCCUUCGCAUUUGGCCAUAAUUUUUUUUUGGCAAUGUACCAUUGUAUCGAUUCAUACUUUUUUUAAGGGGUCUAUCAAUUCAUACUUGAUAUGUUGGCUAUUUAGCUGCAUGCCUCCAUGGUAUUUAUGUUUUUCUUUCUUUCAUCUUGGAUUUCUUAUUACCAUCUUUACUCCUUUUCAUAUAACUUAACUGUUACUGUGCAACUUAAAGUUCUGUAGGGAUGACAUAUGACAAAUAAGUGUACAUUGUUGCCUUCACUGUGUUAAGGGUAUAAAUGUCAAUGUACCUAGUCUAGGGUUUGGGGUCUCCCUUCUUGUACUAUAUAUAGCCCAAAGGGCCUCUUCCUCAAUAUAGAUAGCAUUUCUUCCUAAUCGUAACAUGGUAUCACAGCCAUCGUUCUGAUCCGUCCACCACCCUCGUCGCCCCGCUGUGCCGUCCCCGGGAGAAUCGAUUCUUCCCUCCCGGGGGCGGCAUCCCCUCCAAGCCCCAAACCCAUUUUUUUCCCCUAGUCGUCGAGUUGUAGCAGCAGCCUCCGUUCGUCACCCGCCGUCGUCGAUAUGCUCGCGGGAGGGGAGCAGCCGCCCCUGUCCGUCAUGGAUCCAUUGCCGCCGUCCUCUGUCCGCCGCCCGUUGCGGUGGAUCCAUCCGCACCGUUGCGCGGCACCUGUCAGCGCCGUCCCCGUCCGCGCCGUCGUCCUCAUCGCCGCCUGUCGCAGAGCCGGCCAUCCGCCCGUCGCGGCGGCCUCCGCCGUCGCGGAUCCGCCCGUUGCAGAGCCGCCGGCCCCCUGUUCGCUACUCCUACGCCGUCCCUGCUCGUCCGCUCUAUCCACGGCCGCCCGCCGAGGGAGGGGGUGGUCGAGCUGCACUUCAAGUGGAGAGGGGGAGCUGCACGUCGCAGCUCGUCUUCCUCUCCCAGUUGCGGCUCGUCCCGGCGUGGAUCCGCCGCCGUCGCGGCCUCCCUGCGAUGCCGCGCAUCGCGGCCUCCCUGCGCCGCCGCCCGUCGCGGCCUCCUACGCCGCCGCCCGUCGCGGACCGUCCGCUCGUCGCGGCCUCCCUCCUUGCCGCUCGUCGCGGCCUCCUGCGCCGCUUGUCGCGGACCGUCCUCCCGUCGCUGCUCCUCUUGGCGCCGCCGCCCGUCGCGGCUCCUCCUAGCGCCGCCCGCCACGGCCAUCUGCGGCCGGCCGUCCGCCCGUCGGGAGCAGCGGCCGCCGGCUUCUGCAGCCGCCAUCUUCAGUCCGCGGCGUCCGUCCAGCGCCGCCCGUCCGCCCGCCGUCGCGGCUCCUCCGCCCCGCCUCCAUCUCCGCUCGCCCGUCGCGGAGCUCGUCCCCGCCCAUCCGGCUCCUCUUCGCGCGCCUCUGUUCGAGCUGCCAGUCACCCCUCGUCAUCAUGCUGUGCGGUGCGGUGCUCUGUUCUGCUACUUGUAGCAGCUGCUGCUGGUGGCCCGUUCUGAAAUUGAUCUCGCACAUGCAGCUGCUGGUGGUAUUGCUUUGUUUUGUUGCACUUGCAUCUGCAUCCAUGCCAAUCCAAAUCCAAUUUCAUUGCUUCGUAAUUCUGCUGCUUGCUUAUGCGUGCUGCUGCUAGUGUGCGGCUGUGCUGCUCUACUCAUCUGCUCCUAUGGUCGGCUCAUCUGCUCAUAUGGUCGGCUGUCCAUCCAUAUCAUCUUUUGCUUGUUGCUUGCUGCUGCUUGCAUCCAUCAUCAGAUUUUGCUUGUACCUGCUGCUAUCUUAGUCAUAAUUGUCUAGUUAUGUCGUAUCCAUCCAAGUCAGUAUCAAUCCAAGUCCAUUACGCAUUUUCAGGUCGUCAAUGCCGUGCGAGUCCACAAAUUCAUUGUCAGAUCAGUCAAUUUUUUUUAUGGUUAGCUGAGUCCCGUCGAUUUAGCUAAUCUCAUCAUCAUCAUUGUGGUGCGACAAUGCCCUCUUGGUCCCUUUCGGAGCCGUCUUGCUCCACGUCAUGAUCAAUGGCCGUCUAUUUGUCGUCAUCACCUUCCUGUCUCACCACUUGUCGUCUUGCAGUGGUGCUUUCUAUCUUUGGCUGGUUUUGCACAUCUCACUGUUCUUGUCGUGUUCAAAGUCUCCAAAGCAAGACUCAUGUUUGAGGAGUCGACGUACUGGUUUGUGAAGACUUGGGCUAUUCGCUGAAGUACGGUUGUGAAGGCGACACCCUCUUGUGGAGGAGAUUCUCAUCUACAUCGACAUGUUCAAGAGUUGCACGCUUCGACGACAUCUUUCAUUUCGGACUUUGGAUGUAUCAUUUUCAUGUUUAUGUUUACUCUAGUGCUUAGUAUCAACUCUCCAAAUGCAACGUCAUUGCAUUCGCGUUGCAUUUGAGAGGGGGUGUUAAGGGUAUAAAUGUCAAUGUACCUAGUCUAGGGUUUGGGGUCUCCCUUCUUGUACUAUAUAUAGCCCAAAGGGCCUCUUCCUCAAUAUACAGAUAGCAUUUCUUCCUAAUCGUAACACACUGCAAUAAUCCUAUUGUUCCUAAUUGUUCCUAAGUAUGCCUCGUGAUCUGCAAAUAAACGCCAAAGCUGCUAUAGUUCAUUUACGUUCCCAAAGCAAGAAAUUCUGAGCUAACAUAAUUGCUUUCAGAUAUCUUGUGAUCAGAAUAGUACUGAAUACCUAACAUCCUAAACCAAACAAUAGGAAAUACAAUAUACAGUAUAUGCUAGUAAUAUGUAAUGAUAGUGCUAAUUAAUAAGUCAAGCAGAAACCAGGAGCAUACCUCCAUCCAUGGAUAUGUGCGAGCUAGUUCCCAAGUUCCAUAGCCACCAUUUGGGUUCUGUAUCAAUUCAGGGGUCAAAUCUGGUUACCCCAUUGCUUUUCUUGGCAUAUAUUUCAACCAUUAUGCUUUGCCUUUUAUUUUCAGUACAGUAUGCUGUUCAAAAUAUCUGUAUAGACUGUUUGCAUAUAUUUUUUGAGUGUACGAUAAUCAUUUGCUAACGAGGAAAUUUGCAUCACUGCAUUUGCAUGCUACAUUAGAUUUUAUUGUAACUUACAUUGCUUAAUGGUAAUUAACAGCAGCUAGAGCUGUUUUGUUUUCGCUGAGGGGAAAACACGGGGAAGGGUACUACCAUGGAGUUACGUUAAAAAAAGGGGUACUGCUGAGGAGAUAGAAGUAUGUAGAGCUGUUUUGAUUCACAACUCUACCAUGAAACAAAAUCGUUUCAAUAUAUUGAACCUGUCUAAUAGCAUACAGAAUGCAGAGUAAAGAGUUUCAUGCCUGUAAGGAUAAUAGUACAUUCACUGCAUCAUGUAGGCGACAUGUUUCCAUCUGAUCACCUGCAAUGUCUGGUGAAAACUUUGACAGCAGCAACAAGGCCUGAAACAUGAGAGCAAAUAUCACUUUGUGUUAAUAGGUUUCUUGUUUUCCAUGUAUGGUUUGGGUCUGGAAAUGUUAUGGUGAACUGUAAGAACACUGGUGUCAGAUAUUGAACCUUAAGAGCUUCAGCUGUGCAAUCUGAAACUUGCCACCCCUGAUCUGCAACCUGGAAGGCCCACCCUCCUUUAGAUAUGUGACGGUACUUUCUGCUGAAGUCACCAGAAGGAUUGUCCAUGAUCUUAAAAUUUAAGUCAGUAGAGUUAAGCAAGUAAGUUUAUAGAAAUAUAACUGAUAGAACUACAAUUCUGGACAAUAGUACCUGGGAAGCUUUUAUAAAAUCAUGCGCUUUCUUCAGGGUAUUUUUAUAUUCUUCUGCAAUAUUACACGCUAAUAUCGCUUGAACUGCGAAAGCAACGUCCCAUAAUUGACCAGCACAGACCUUUGGAAAGCAAUGAGACAUAAACAUCAAUUUUGAUUAUGUGGUGUUGCUGCAGGUUGACAGACUGCAUAAACUUCUGGGAUAUUGUAUUCUAAAUAAAAAGAGGGUUCUAGAGAAAUAUUCAAUUACCCGCACUUUCAUGCCAUCUUCACCAACCCACAGGAAAUCCGCAACCCUAGCCAAAUGGCGCUUGAAUGCAUCUGAAUUGGGAUUUUCAAUCCAACAGCACAACAUGGAUAAUGCCUGUAAUGUUUACUCUUUGUAAGGACGUGUGCAAUAUUCAUUAGCACCAGCUAGAAUUUGAUGUGUCCAUUCAUGCAAAUGAAUAUUUCCUAAGUUUUUGUUGUACCACUUCUUCGUACUGUGCAUUACUAAGGAGUGAGUGGGUGGGUGGCUGAUUGACUGUGUAUACACAAAAUUGGUUACUAUUACUAUUCAAAACUUGGUCCCGUUUCUGCUGCUAUGUCCAAAGUUAGUUGCUGCGAGUCCCUUGUUUUAGAAGACAUAAAAGUCUUACCUUCUGUGCAGCACCAAUGCAGAUGUACUGAGAGUUCUCAUCUUCAUAUUUCAAGAACUCAGCGAUUUGUUGGAGGGCUUUCAUUCUCAUGUAGGAAACCGGCCACCGUGUGAGGAAAGGUUCACCAAAACUGUAAAGGCAGUCAGAUAGGCACUCCUGUAGCCAUGUAUGUGGAUUAUACACAUCUUCCUGCAUUUCAAUUUGUAACUUUUUCACCAAUUCUAAAAAUUAAUUUAUGAAAAAGAAAUAUACUGACAUAUUUGCAGAUUCUAGUUACAGGGACUUGAUUUAUCUGAUGUGUUUUUAUUGGGAAAUAACAUGACAUCUACAUACAAAAAGGAUGUGGCUAUUUGCAAGCACGUACAAAAAUGUUAAGUAUCCGACAAUCUAGACUGGUACAUAUAGAAAUAAUCAUCUACACUAUUUAUUUAUAUCCAAAUACUGAGUACAUCAAUCUGAAAUUAUAUAGAAUGCUUGCAUAUAUGUGUUAGAUGUUUGACAGACAGACCUUUGCACAUAAUUUGCGUGCUUGCUUCCAGUCAAUCUUUUUAUAUGGAUGAAUAUGUAGUUCUUCCCUUAAUGACAUAACCAAUUUUGUUAUGGGGCCGACAAAUUUCUUGCCAUAUAAAUAGGACAUGGGAAUGAAAGCCAUUCUGAAGUGACUCCACAAACGUCCUACAUUUGGAAGGAAAAUACACCAAUGAUGAGAUCGAGUUGGCCCUUAAGUAACUGCUAUAGAUGCUGCAAUAUUAUCAUAAAGUAUCAAAAUAACUCAAUGUUAGCAUGUAAAAGAUCUGACAGAAUUAUUUUCCUAAUACUGAGCAAAAACUUGACCAACCUAGGAGGAACUGGGUAGCAUUUAAAAAUAAGAAGAAAUUGACACCCGAAUUUGAGUCAAAGUGGGCUCGAACCUGAUGAUAGAGAUGUACAUCUAAGUGAGCUAUGCUCAGUUCCUUUUCCUAAUACUGAAGAAAUAAAUUCAAUUCGAGUUGUUAUCAGUAAUGGUGAUAACCUAUAUGGCCCCCUUUGGUGGAGCUUCACCUGGCUCCAUCUUCACCACUGUAGAGUAGAGGAGCCAGAGUCGGUGGAGCCACAAUUUGUGGCUUCACUGGCUCCUUGUGGUCUUGUGAGGGGGAGGAAAAGGAAAGAGAAAAUCAGCUUCAAGUUGCUACAGUAGUGAAGCCGGUUUGCAUGCACUCCGUGUGGUACAGCUCCACCUGGAGCCGCUAAUGGAGCUGUUGUUGGAGCCCUACCAAAGGGCCCCUAUGUGUCAAGAUCUUAUUUUUGGUGGUACUGGUAACUCUUGAUUUUUGGCUCAAGUCACGGCAGGGAAUCUUGAUCUUAGAAAAUAUCAAUAUACAAGAAAGUUUUGAGGUCACAUCGCUCAACAACCAAGCAGUUGGUUCUCAAUAUAACUAUAUACCAGGAGGAGGGGUAGGAUACCUGGUUGAAUAGGAACCAACGAUGGAAGAAGAAACAGUUCUGGAGGGAUGGGAUUUACGCCUGACCAUUCAAAAACUCCAAGCACCUGCAACAGUAUCAGGUGCAAUAAUCGCUCAAUGCUGCAUCAUCAGAGCCAUCAUCAGAGAAAGCCGCAGCGCAGAGCCGGGUGACGCGCACUGCUAUUUAUCCCCCGGGGAGAUCACGUGGAACCCAUGAGAGCAUUGUCAAGUUGCGCGAGGCGCCACGGAAACGCGCCUCCUGCGCAACUGCUCGCAGAGCUGUGCAGGAGGGAAGCUUGCUUAGCAGCUGAGAACCCCGGGAAAUGGCUUAUGUGUUGAGUGGCUUGUGCUGCUGGCUGCUUUGUCACAGGAACUGCAUGCGAUGCUGCUCCAGCAGCUAUGGAGGCGACAUGUGAAAGAACAGAGUGUGGGUCUGACCACUGUAUGCGAACCCCAAUUCAAUUUCAGCUUCUUGGGUUGAAGCUGCAUGCUCGUUGAUAGUGAGGUGACUUCACCAAUCUUAAAAUUUGCUAAGGCAUCAUAGGGUGCAGGCUCAUCAAUAUGCUGCAAGCAGAAUUACCGGGGCCGUUGCUUCUGCACAAGUCAACGAACAAACAAGAGCUCUGGCUAGGAAUUGGGUUCCUGCAGGUCCCAGUGAUUCACAUGCCUUGGGAUCAGGGGGCAACGAAACCCCCCGGAUGUAGGAACUGCAUGUGCUUUGGGACAAGUCGUAGAAUCAGAGCAGAGAGAACUGUGCAUAGCACCUGGAGCGGCGAUUGUCGGGCAACUCAUCAUGCCCAGCCGGACAAUCUGGUGAACCUACAAUUGAAAUGACCGUCUGACAAUCCAUACCGAAUGGCACAAAGGUGCACCAAAUUUUGCAACCGAAAUAUGGAUACGUGGGAUUAGUUUCUAAUUUCUACAAUCACUACCUGCAAAAAAAAGUACAGGGACAACAAUUCAGCUUCAUUAUGAUCAUAACAAAAGGGCAACUCCACACCGUGAAGGAUACCGACAUCUCUGAACCCAGGGAUAUGAUCAACCAGCUUAGCAAACGAUUUCGAAAUCCCAAUAAGAUUAACUGAACAAAAACAAAACAUAUAAACAUGUAUUUUGCAUGGUUUUUUUUUUCCAUAGGUGCACAAAUGCAUGGCUUCAUGUGUCGUUUUUGGCAGAAAAUUUUCACAUUAAUCUGCUCAUGACUUCAGAACGAGAAAACAUAUAGCAAAAGAUUCAUGU